UGGAUGUCAAGGUUCUGGCAGUACGUAAA
rnacentral:piRNA from 1 species